rnacentral:rRNA from 1 species
UGGGGAAUUUUGGACAAUGGGCGAAAGCCUGAUCCAGCAAUGCCGCGUGUGUGAAGAAGGCCUUCGGGUUGUAAAGCACUUUUGUCCGGAAAGAAAUCCUUGGCUCUAAUACAGUCGGGGGAUGACGGUACCGGAAGAAUAAGCACCGGCUAACUACGUGCCAGCAGCCGCGGUAAUACGUAGGGUGCAAGCGUUAAUCGGAAUUACUGGGCGUAAAGCGUGCGCAGGCGGUUUGCUAAGACCGAUGUGAAAUCCCCGGGCUCAACCUGGGGACUGCAUUGGUGACUGGCAGGCUAGAGUAUGGCAGAGGGGGGUAGAAUUCCACGUGUAGCAGUGAAAUGCGUAGAGAUGUGGAGGAAUACCGAUGGCGAAGGCAGCCCCCUGGGCCAAUACUGACGCUCAUGCACGGAAAGCGUGGGGAGCAAACAGGAUUAGAUACCCCUGGUAGUCCACGCCCUAAACGAUGUCAACUAGUUGUUGGGGGAUUCAUUUCCUUAGUAACGUAGCUAACGCGUGAAGUUGACCGCCUGGGGAGUACGGUCGCAAGAUUAAAACUUCAAAU